rnacentral:rRNA from 1 species
AGCGAACAUUGGCGGUAGGCUUAACACAUGCAAGUCGAGCGCGGCGUAAUAGUCGAGCGGCGAACGGGUGAGUAACACAUGGGAAUCUACCUCGAAGUGGGGGAUAACGUCCAGAAAUGGACGCUAAUACCGCAUAAUCCAUAUUGGGAAAGCGCGCUGCGCUUUGAGAUGAGCCCAUGGCUGAUUAGCUAGUUGGUGGGGUAACGGCUGACCAAGGCGACGAUCAGUAGCUGGUCUGAGAGGAUGAUCAGCCACACUGGAAGUGAGACACGGUCAAGACUCCUACGGGAGGCAGCAGUGGGGAAUCUUGCGCAAUGGGGGCAACCCUGACGCAGCCAUACCGCGUGUGUGAUGAAGGUCUUCGGAUUGUAAAGCACCUUCAGUAGGGACGACGAUGACGGUACCUACAGAAGAAGUCACGGCUAACUUCGUGCCAGCCGCCGCCGUAA